rnacentral:rRNA from 1 species
UGAACACGAAGUGCUACGGCACUGAAGUAGUCUAUGCCAUGCUUCCAAGAAAAGCUCGAAAUAUCUUAAAUAGUAAACGCCUGUACCUUAAACCGACACAGGUAGGUAGGUAGAGUAUACCAAGGGGCGCGAGAUAACUCUCUCUAAGGAACUCGGCAAAAUAACCUCGUAACUUCGGAAGAAGAGGUACCCUUGCAAAAGGGUUGCAAUAACCAGACCCUGGCGACUGUUUACCAAAAACACAGGUCUCCGCUAAUUCGUAAGAUCAAGUAUGGAGGCUGACGCCUGCCCAGUGCCGGAAGGUUAAAGAAGUUGGUCAAUCCUCGGAUGAAGCUGGCGACUGAAGCCCCGGUGAACGGCGGCCGUAACAAUAACGGUCCUAAGGUAGCGAAGUUCCUUGUCGGGUAAGUUCCGACCCGCACGAAAGGCGUAACGAUCAGGGUGCUGUCUCGGAGAGAGGCUCGGCGAAAUAGACAUGUCUGUGAAGAUGCGGACUACCUGCACCUGGACAGAAAGACCCUAUGAAGCUUUACUGUAUCUUGGAAUUGGGUUUGGGCCUUGCUUGCGCAGGAUAGGUGGAGGCUUUGAGAAUAUUCUUGCGGGAAUGUUGGAGCCAACGGUGAGAUACCACUCUAGUAAGGCUAAAAUUCUAACUUUGUACCGUUAUCCGGUCAGAGAACAGUUUCAGGUGGGCAGUUUGACUGGGGCGGUCGCCUCCUAAAAGUAACGGAGGCGCGCAAAGGUUCCCUCAGGCUGGUUGGACAUCAGUCGUAGAGUGUAAAGGCAUAAGGGAGCUUGACUGCGAGACCCACAAGUCGAGCAGAGACGAAAGACGGCCUUAGUGAUCCGACGGUUCCACGUGGAAGGGCCGUCGCUCAACGGAUAAAAGUUACUCUAGGAUAACAGGCUGAUCUCCCCCAAGAGUUCACAUCGACGGGGAGGUUUGGCACCUCGAUGUCGGCUCAUCGCAUCCUGGGGCGGUAGUACGUCCCAAGGGUUGGGCUGUUCGCCCAUGAAAGCGGUACGCGAGCUGGGUUCAGAACGUCGUGAGACAGUUCGGUCCAUAUCCGGUGCAGGCGCUAGAGCAUUGAAAGGAGUCCCCCUUAGUACGAGAGGACCGGGGGGAAUACACCUCUGGUGUACCAGUUAUCGUGCCAACGGUAAACGCUGGGUAGCCAUGUGUAGCGCGGAUAACUGCUGAAAGCAUCUAAGUAGGAAGCCCACCUUAAGAUGAGUGCUCUCACCGCUAUAAGCGGGUAAGGUCACGGUAAGAACAACCGUUAUAUAGGCAUUAAGUAUACGCGCAGUAAUGCGUUUAGCUGAGAUGUACUAACAGACCGAGGGCUUGAUU